AUUGCCACGAGAUUACCGGCGAGGAAUGGUAACUUUUACAUCGGCUUAGAAGGCACGGAUAAGGAUGAUGAAUACAAAUGGAUUGAUGGAAUGGACCCUGAGUAUACCAACUGGGAUUCUAGUUUAUACAACCCAGACAAACCUUACUGUGCUGUAAUGAGGUCUGGAAGUAGCUCGAUACAUGGACGAUGGAACCGACGAGCAUGCACAUCAGAGAGACAACAUAUCUGCCAAAUACCUAUCGACAAUGACUGUAGAUGGCAAGAGCUCGGUGAAUCUCAGUAUCUCAUCAAGUUCACACCCCACGCAACGCCAAGUACUGCCAGGGAAACAUGUCAAAGUUACCACGGUGAUUUGGCUA